AUUGAACGCUGGCGGCAGGCCUAACACAUGCAAGUCGAGCGGUAACAGAGAGUGCUUGCACUCUGCUGACGAGCGGCGGACGGGUGAGUAACGCGUAGGAAUCUACCUUGUAGUUGGGGAUAGCCAGGAGAAAUCCUGAUUAAUACCGAAUACGGUCUACGGACGAAAGGGGGCUUCGGCUCUCGCUGCAAGAGGAGCCUGCGUUGGAUUAGCUUGUUGGUGAGGUAAAAGCUCACCAAGGCGACGAUCUAUAGCUGGUUUGAGAGGAUGAUCAGCCACACUGGGACUGAGACACGGCCCAGACUCCUACGGGAGGCAGCAGUGGGGAAUAUUGGACAAUGGGCGAAAGCCUGAUCCAGCCAUGCCGCGUGUGUGAAGAAGGCCUUCGGGUUGUAAAGCACUUUCAGAGAGGAGGAAAGGUUAUCGGUUAAUACCCGGUAGCUGUGACGUUACUCUCAGAAGAAGCACCGGCUAACUCCGUGCCAGCAGCCGCGGUAAUACGGAGGGUGCGAGCGUUAAUCGGAAUUACUGGGCGUAAAGCGUACGUAGGCUGUUACUUAAGCCAGAUGUGAAAGCCCCGGGCUCAACCUGGGAACUGCAUUUGGAACUGAGUAACUAGAAUGUGUGAGAGGUAAGUGGAAUUUCCAGUGUAGCGGUGAAAUGCGUAGAGAUUGGAAAGAACACCAGUGGCGAAGGCGACUUACUGGCAUAACAUUGACGCUGAGGUACGAAAGCGUGGGUAGCAAACAGGAUUAGAUACCCUGGUAGUCCACGCCGUAAACGAUGUCUACUAGUUGUUGGGACCUUUAUGGACUUAGUGACGCAGCUAACGCAUUAAGUAGACCGCCUGGGGAGUACGGUCGCAAGAUUAAAACUCAAAUGAAUUGACGGGGGCCCGCACAAGCGGUGGAGCAUGUGGUUUAAUUCGAUGCAACGCGAAGAACCUUACCUAGCCUUGACAUCCAGAGAAUUUGGUAGAGAUACCUUAGUGCCUUCGGGAACUCUGUGACAGGUGCUGCAUGGCUGUCGUCAGCUCGUGUUGUGAAAUGUUGGGUUAAGUCCCGUAACGAGCGCAACCCUUAUCUUUAGUUGCCAGCACUUCGGGUGGGGACUCUAGAGAGACUGCCGGUGACAAACCGGAGGAAGGCGGGGACGACGUCAAGUCAUCAUGGCCCUUACGGCUAGGGCUACACACGUGCUACAAUGGCAAGGACAGAGGGCUGCGAACUCGCGAGAGUAAGCCAACCCCAGAAACCUUGUCGUAGUCCGGAUUGGAGUCUGCAACUCGACUCCAUGAAGUCGGAAUCGCUAGUAAUCGCGAAUCAGAAUGUCGCGGUGAAUACGUUCCCGGGCCUUGUACACACCGCCCGUCACACCACGGGAGUUGAUUGCACCAGAAGUAGGUAGCCUAACCUUUGGGAGGGCGCUUACCACGGUGUGGUCGAUGACUGGGGUG
rnacentral:rRNA from 1 species